GGGGGUGCACCGGUUUCGACUGGUACGAUUCGGGGUACAGGUUGCAGGUGGAGCGCCGACCUCCUAACAUUCGGCAAAACUUUUAACUGCCAACAACGACAGUUACGCUCUCGCCGCGUAAGCGGCAGAACGCGGAAACCAAUCGCGCCGCCUUGAGCGGUUGAAUUUCCGUCGCAAUCGAGGCUGGUUGACCAUUGGGCCCGAACGAUGGAAGACGAGAUUAACCGGGAUACGGAACCGCCGCGUGCCCCGUAGCUAAGCGGCUCCCGACAAUACCAAUACGAGGCUAAACCUGUAGAGAUUUGUAUUUCGCGUAUUAGGACGCGGGUUCGAUUCCCGCCACCUCCAA
rnacentral:tmRNA from 1 species